AUUGAACGCUGGCGGCAGGCCUAACACAUGCAAGUCGAACGAGUGGCGCACGGGUGAGUAAUGUCUGUGACACUGCCUGCUGGAGGGGGAUAACUACUGGAAACGGUAGUUAAUACCGCAUACCAUCGGAUGUGCCCAGCGGGGAUUAGCUAGUAGGUGGGGUAAAGGGGCACAUAGGCGACGAUCCCUAGCUGGGCUGAGAGGAUGACGAGCCACACUGGAACUGAGGCACGGGCCAGACUCCUACGGGAGGCAGCAGUGGGGAAUGUUGCACAAUGGGCGCAAGCCGGAUGCAGCCAUGCCGGGUGUAUGAAGAAGGCCUUCGGGUUGUAAAGUACGUUCAGCGGGGAGGCGUUAGCCGCAGAAGAAGCGCCGGCUAACUCCGUGCCAGCAGCCGCGGUAAUAC
rnacentral:rRNA from 1 species